UACGUAGGAUCCAAGCGUUGUCCGGAUUUACUGGGUGUAAAGGGUGCGCAGGCGGCCUUAUAAGUCAGUGGUGAAAUCUCACAGCUUAACUGUGAAACUGCCUUUGAUACUGUAGGUCUUGAAUUAGGGAGAGAUUCGUGGAAUUCCGAGUGUAGCAGUGAAAUGUGUAGAUAUGCGGAGGAACACCGAUGGCGAAGGCAAUCCCCUGGGCCUGCACUGACGCUCAUGCACGAAAGCGUGGGGAGCAAACAGG
rnacentral:rRNA from 1 species